AAAGCUAUUGCGCAACUGCUUGUAAUAAAUAAUCUUUGGUUUUCUCAGUUGACGAGAGGAAGUUUCCAAGAACAUACGUGCGUUUGAAAAGUGUAAAAUGUUUUUGAAAGCUAGCCAAAACUACAUAAACAUGACUUUUGAAGAAAGAUUUCGUAACACUGGCAAUAAGGAGAAUUUCCCAGCAGAGUGUGUGCAAUUUGGCAGGAGACGAACCCCUUAUGUAGGAUCAGGAAUGUUUAAUGAUGGAAACACUUGUUACAUCAAUUCAACACUGCAGAUGGAUCUGCAGCCACCUAUGUGGUAAACAGAUUCAAAUACUUUGAUAAUUACUGGAAUAAAAUGUCAAUAAAUAUUUGAGCCACUGAUUUUGCAAUAAUGUACUUUGCUCGUGCUCACAGAUGACAGCUUUGAUAUAAAAAUGUACAUUUCAUCUGGGAUUGGUGUUACAUUUUCUCAGUGAUCUACUAGAAAAUGCAGCCCUGUUCCAUGUACCAGCAUUUGUUAACUGGCUACAGAGUGAGAGCAGUCACCUAAAUAAGUGCAUCAGUUUGGUGAAUAAAAGAGACUGCACCAUUUGUGCAAUGGACAGCACUUAUGUGGCAUUACAAAACAAAUUAGGCACUGUAAUUAGGCCAUAUCACAUUUAUAGGAGACUGAGUUAUAUCUGCAAGCACCUUGUCGCUGGCGGGUAAGAGGAUGCUCAUGAAUUUAUGACAUAUCUUUUACUUAGCAUGGAGGAAGCAUAUUUCGCAGGCUACAAUGACAGAGAGUUUGACACUUACGGCACAGAAACAACCCCAAUAAAUCAAAUAUUUGGAGGUUAUAUUAGAACAGAAGUGACAUGUUUAGAAUGUGGGACAGUGUCUACAACAUUCCAGCAGUGCCAAGACUUUUCUCUGGAUAUCAAACAUGUAUCCACAUUGGACGAUGCUUUAGAAGAUUAUUUCUCCCCUGAACGUCUGGAUGAGGGUGGUGAUUAUUCCUGUAGACGAUGCAACAAGAAAGUUGUGGCUACAAAGAAAUUUUCUUUGGAGAAAGAUCCACAAGUUUUAUGUAUACAAUUGAAAAGGUAUGUUGUUUUACUUUUAGACAUCAUACACUUCUGUAUAAUUCAUAGUUUGAAGGACAGACUGGAAGGUAUCAAAGAAUGAGACUUGUUUUCUUCCUCCCUACAAAAGUCAAUCUCAGCGCAAAACACAUCAAAUUCUCUAGACUGAUAUAACAAGAAAUCUCUGGCAAGUUUUGUUCAUAUAUUUAGUACCCAUCUUAAGGCUAGUAGUGCCAAAGAGAUUAAAUAUUUCCAUCUAGUGAAACACUUUCUCUUGUGUACAGAAGCAUCACAUUUUUCAUAAUGGAGAUAUGAAUUUUGUGUCUUAAAAAUGUUAUCUUUAUUCCUUUUCUACUUAUUUAUCAAUAUUAAUUAGAGUCAUCUACCAAGAGAAAAAUAACUACAACAUUAUUCUACAUUCCUCCUGGCUUUUGCAGGAACUGCUUUAAAAAGUGUUUAGUAUCUUAUGAAUGUAUCAUUUUCAAAUGAAUGUAAUGGAUAUUCAUUAAAAUGCAGUUUAUGGACAUUUGUUGCAAAUCACUCAAUAUUCUUUGGAUUCACCAAGAGUAAUAUACUCAUUUGAAUUUCUGCAGCAGCUUCACACUUUUAUGUAUACUUUUCUUUAUGUUUUUGUUUUGAAUAAAAUAGUGAUUCGAUCUUCUUUGUAAUAUUUCUG